CAGCUUGGGACAGGGAUGGGAAGGAUUUUGACUUGUCCUUUUGGCAUCUCCUCAGCCUGCGGAGCCCAAGCGUCUUGGAGCAUCUUUGGGGUUGACACAGCAGAGGUUCCAGGCAUACACAACCACUCCAGCCAGGAGGCUGCCAUGCCCCACAUUCCUGAGGAUGAGGAGCCCCCUGGAGAGCCACAGGCAGUCCAAACCCAAGACUCUCCCUCUGCAGGACCAUUUCACAGUCCUCCCACAAUCAUCCUGACGGGGGAUGCCAGUUCACCUGAAGGAGAAACCGACAAAAACCUGGUCAACAGAGCUCCCAGCCCCCACCGCAGGCUUUCCCACCGACAUCUGAAGGUCUCCACAGCUCCGCUGACUUCUGUGGACCCCACGGGACACGUCAUUGACCUGGUAAAUGACCAGCUGCCAGACAUCAGCAUCUCAGAGGAGGACAAGAAGAAAAACCUGGCGCUUCUGGAAGAAGCCAAGUCGGUGAGUGAGCGAUUCCUGGCCCGCCGCGGGAGGAAAUCAAGGAGCAGCCCCGGAGACUCCCCAUCAGCGGUUUCCCCAAACCUCAGCCCUGGAGCUUCUCCUGCACCCUCCAGAAGCUGCUCGCUCACCAUCUCCACACCACCAGGUUUCGACGCGUGCAGUGGCCCGCAGUCCCCUUUGCCGGGAGGACCACCACAGCAAAAGGGGCAUGAGGCCGACAUCUCCUCAUCUCACCUGGGAGAGCCUAUUGUCUCCAAAGGGCUAGCGGACCGGAAGCAGAAUGACCAGAGGAAAGUGUCUCAAGGCAGACUGGCUCCUCGCUCUCCCACACUGGAGAAAUCCAAAGAACUUAGAGUAGAACAAAAGGAAAACUUUGAUCCCCUUCAGCAUCCGGAGGCGACACCCAUGGCUCAGGCUUCAGGAGCAAGCAUCAGUGGGAAAAUGGCCCUGAACAGCCCCCAGACUGGCCCUGCUGAGAUGGAACUCGGGAGGCAGCUCCAGAAGACAGCCAGGGAAGGCGGCCCUCUGCCCCGAGGUGCAGUCCAAGGCUCAGGAGGAACUGUUUCCCCACAUCCGCAGGGACAAAGCUCUGCAGGAGAGCCUGUGGGGCUUAAGGCUGGUCCCAAACCUGAGCUGCGGCCCCCUGUGUCCCGCCCCCCCUUGAUACGGGGAGUCUCUUGGGACAGCAGUCCUGAAGAACCUGGUCCCCUGCUGCAGAAGGUACUUGCCAAACUGCCUCUGUCAGAGGAAGAGAAGAGGUUUCCAGGCAAAGCCAAGCUAGCCAAGCCGCCUGGGCUCAAAGACUUCCAGAUACAAGUACAGCCGGUGCGCAUGCAGAAACUGACCAAGCUUCGGGAGGAACAUAUCAUGAUGAGAAACCAGAACCUGGUGGGGUUCAAGCUUCCCGAACUGAGUGAGGCUGCGGAGCAGGACAAAGGGGUCUCUUCUGAACUCGCCCCAGCAGCUGAGGAAGAAGAGUCGAAGAGCGGUCUGGACGUGAUGCCCAGCAUUUCUGACAUACUGCUACGCAAACUGAGGGUGCACAAGACGCUCACCGGAAGUGCCCCUCCACUCACUGAGAAGGAAGUUGAGAACGUGUUUGUACAACUGUCCUUGGCCUUUAGAAAUGACAGCUACACCUUGGAGUCUAGAAUUAACCAGGCGGAAAGGGAACGCAACCUGACUGAAGAGAACACCGAGAAGGAGCUGGAGAACUUCAAGGCUUCCAUUACGUCCUCAUCCUCCAUCUGGUACCACUGUGAGCACCGAGAGACCUAUCAGAAGCUUCUGGAAGACAUCGCGGUCUUGCAUCGUCUGGCUGCUCGCCUCUCCAGCCGGGCCGAAGUGGUGGGGGCUGUGCGCCAGGAAAAGCGCAUGUCAAAGGCGACGGAAGUGAUGAUGCAGUAUGUGGAGAAUCUGAAGAGAACGUACGAGAAGGACCACGCCGAGCUCAUGGAAUUUAAGAAACUCGCAAAUCAGAAUUCAAGCCGCAGCUGUGGUCCCUCUGAAGAUGGGGUCCCACGCACGGCGCGAUCUAUGUCCCUCACGAUGGGCAAGAACAUGCCUCGCCGGAGGGUCAGUGUUGCCGUGGUUCCCAAGUUUAAUGCCCUGAACCUUCCUGGCCAAGCUCCCAGCUCAUCACCCAUCCCCUCCCUACCAGCUCUGUCUGAAACGCCCAACGGAAAAGGCAACAUUGCCGCCCCCCCGGUGCUGCCUGCACUUUUGGAAAAUGGAAAGACAAAUGCAGAGGCCGACUGUGAAGCUUGUGCCCCCGCCUUGCUCCCGAGCUGCCCGGAGGACGUGAGCCAGGAGACCAAGGCCAGGGCAGAGGAAGAAGUCUACAGCAAAGUAUAUCAGGAAGGGGUAAAGAAGACAGAAGAACUUCAAGACCUGAAGGAGGAGGAAGAGCAGAAGACAGAGAGUCCCGAGGAACCAGCGGAGGUAGAAGAAACUGAGGAAGAAGAGAAGGAGCAGAGAAGCAGCAAACUUGAAGAACUGGUCCAUUUCCUACAAGUCAUGUAUCCCAAAUUGUGUCAACACUGGCAAGUGAUCUGGAUGAUGGCCGCAGUGAUGCUGGUCUUGAGUAUUGUGCUCGGGCUCUACAACUCCUAUAACUCGUGUACAGAGCAGACCGAGGGGCCCCCUGGGAGAUCCACCUGCUCCGCGGCCCAGCGGGACUCGUGGUGGAGCUCAGGACUCCAGCAAGAGCAGCCAGCGGAGCAGUAGGGCCUCAGACUCCUUAGCCAUACCCUCCUCUAGAGCAUUCACCCCACACCCUGCCCCCGCGGACAGUGUGCCAGGCCCAGGUGUGCCAUGUGGCCACCCAUCCCAUCGGGGAACAAGGAGGCUUUCUCUUCCCCCUCGUCACCUCUGUGGAAGCUACUCACAUACCAUAAGCUGAUGGUUUGAAGGGAUCAGCAAAACUUCUCUGGGAAAGCAUCUGGUGGACAAAAAGUGACCUUCACAAAGGACUCUGACACAAGGGAAGAGCCCUGCCCCCAAGCCAGAGGGCUGGGAGAACUGAAGGCCCUUCAUUCAGGGGACAGCGAGAAGCCUGCUCUCUCUUUUCCUCCCUAUGUUUCAGAAUCAGGAAGAGUCCAUCAGGGUCAGACCUGGGACUUGGAGUCACAGUGUGGAUAUCUUCCCACUUCAUUCGCCACGCCACUCUUUAGCCUUCUCUCUCUCCUUCAGAAUCACCAUUUCUUGUCAGAGCGUGGGAAAAGCUUCCUCAGAAAAGUACACAGGCUAAAAGUAGCCCCAUGCUCGAAAGGAAGCAGGAAGAUGUGAGUUCAUAUAUAACGUAUCUUUAUGCAUCCGGACUGUACACACAACAUGUUUGUGCACAGACACCCACUCUCUGGAAGUGCGCUCUGCUCAGUGGCAGCCAUGUUGUGCCAAGCAAUUGGUUUUCACUGGGUAUGGAACAGUAGUCACCAGGCAUCAAUACAGGGAGCCCUCCACACACUCUGAAGAUGUUUGAAAGCCCUAAGAAAUCACGUCUGCAUUGCACGUCCAGUACCAGUUUGGAGCUGCUCUUCUGCAUGGUCUGUUCCCUGGUUGUGCAGUGCCUUUGAAAGUGAUCCUACAUAGCUAACCCACCCCUUGGGUAAGAAAAGGUGUGCCUUCCACUCCAGACUCUCACUCUACCUUGCACCUCAGGGCUGCCGUUCUCAUGGUGUUUCCUGCCCAAAUGUGUCCUUUGGAAGACCCGCUCAGCAUCAAACUGAAGGAGCGCACCUCACCUCCAGCACGCGUCUCUCCCACUGUUCAGCUGUUACCCUCAUUCAGCUCUCAUCAGUUAGAGAUAGGUCUUCUGUGGUGGUUGCUUUUCAUUGUUUUUGUUGCUAACACUCCUGUAGACCUUUAUUGUGAGUCAAAACUGUCUCAGUGUUAUAUAGGUAGCAAUUCAUUUAGUCCUCAGGAAAAACAAAAUCUGAAAUGGGGGUUUCUUUUUCUCUGUUCAAAAAUGGAAACAGCAGCAUAAACAAUACAAGAAUACACACAUACACACAAACAUACACACACACAUACACGCACACAUACACAUACAUGCAUACAUACACACACACACACUGAUACAACUCGUCAAGCAUAUAUAGCUAGUAAGUAAGUCAUUCAAACUAGAGUGGUCUGGCUCCAGGGCUGUACCCCUGACCCUUCUCCUAUGGUCUCUCAGCUAGGCACCUUCCAGCCUGAUCCCACCCCUGCCCCAGCUGGCCCUUCUGCUUCAAACCUGCCAUGGUUCCCAAAUGAAAUUGCUUCUCCAGCUGUAGGUCAACUCAUGAGCAUCUCUCCUGCCCUUGUCCUCUUUUCGCCACUCCUAAGGACCAGUCACAAACACUACCCCUCCAUAAAGGCCUCAGUGACUGCCUUCCACGUUCUCACCAUGCCCAGCAUCCUGGGGGCAUCCCACUUAGUGCUUCCGGCACUGGUGAAAUUUCAACCCUUGACCUAUAUCUACGGUCUAGCUUAUUUAUACAUCUGCCUCCCUGGACGUUUUUCCUCAAAUACUAUGCCUUACCAUCUCUUGGGUAGGUACCUAACAUGGCAAACACUUUGGAGAGAGUCAUUCAAUGUUGGUUGAAAGAACAAGUGAGCAUUGAAGUCGGAGAGCAACCUAGAACAUGAGGUUUCCCAAUACCAUAACCCUCAGGACCUUCCUGUCUCCAUGAGAAACCUGUCAUGAUUGAUUCCUAAUCUCAGCUUGUUUUUAUCUUUCUCUGUUUACUCUGAGAGAACAAGAAUGGAACCAGACACAGCAAUCCCUUUUCCCGAGUUCAAGUACAAGAUUCCAUGCAAUCACUCCUUUUAGACAGACAUGCCCCCUAACCAACCCCGACUAGGCUUCCCUUUAAAAUGCUGGUUUUGAAGGGACGUCCUUUGCGGUGGAUGGAAAUGGCAGAGUGAGGAACCUGGAUGUGCCAUUAAAGGUAAUGAGAUUCAGAGCAAGGCAGUGGGAUUUUGCAGGCAUAGGUAGAUGUUUACCUGGUGUCUUCCAUAGGAACAAAUACAGCCAAAGGAGAUUUAGUUACUAAGCACUGUGUAGCCAAAGACAGGGUGUAGACAAAACGCAGAGAGAGCAGCUGUUAGGACUCUAGGGGGUCAAUGUCUAGUCUCAGUCCACCCCCACACCAAAAGAAGGUCCAACUUGAAUGAGCCCUUCGUCCUUUGGGCCACGAAUUCCCACCCUGUUCUAGGUGAGACAGAGUCAAGGGGAGCAUCUGCAAAUUGCCUCAGCAUCAUCGCUGGCCUCUGAAGCCUGCAGGAGCCUGGGGCCUAGAUCAGCAACCAUACUACUCCAGCUGUGAGGACAGCUGAGGAAAAGAACAUCUCCAAAGAGCAUAGCCAUACUUAGAACAGCGUGGCUGAAAACACCCUCGCUGGGCCACCUUUUCAAGAAAACGGGGGAUAACUUAAAGCAGGUACAGCUGCUGCCACACACGGCCAGUGACACAGAAGCCAGCCUUGUGUUUCCUGACAUCACAGCAAAAUGAAAUAAAAGUUUCCAUUCAAGAUGCCUCUGAAACAGGACAUUUCUGCUUAGCUUCCAGCGUCUGGUUGCCAGCCUUCUGCUGAAGAGGAAUGUGUUUGUGGCACCACUGAUGUCACUUCCUAAAGGACCUUCACUUUCUAGCCACCGUGAAGUCUGUCUCCUUUGCACAGCCUGGAAGAGGGAACAGCAAGGGGGACGCUGGACCUAUGUCACCGGCUGUCAGUCCUUCACGUUAAGCCCCACACAGUUGAUUCUCACUUGUAGUCCAGGCUGGCUUUGAACUUGUGAUCCUCCUGCCUUCACCCUGUGAGUGUAGGCGUGUCCCCACCACGUUCAGCUUCAGAAGAGGUUCAUUUGGUUCAUGAUGCUGGAGUUCAUGGUGCCUUUGCCAGCUCAUUUCCGACAAGGAGCUCCCAGUGAAGGGCAAAUGGUAGUGACAGGUGUGGACGUUGGAGCGAGCGGCCAUGUGUCAGAAAACCAGAAGCAGAGCUCUUCCCGCUGUUCUUCUGAAGAGGCAAGCAGGUCUCUCUUUCCCUGCUCUCUCUUCUCUCUUCCUUUUAUUCCCCAACUCCCUUUAUUUCAAUAAAACCUCCCACGUAAGCUCUGUCUGUAUGGUGUAUUAGUCUUUCGCCCGCUGUGAGGCCUCUGCACCCACCAAGGUCCCUCUGGCACAUAAUCAUACAUUGGUGUUAUAGCUCUGCCAGGCUUUCCCCAAGGUCCUUUCCACCUGUGGGCGGGUGGCCUGAGGCAUGCAGAGACCCUGACCUGGACUGAUAGAUCACUUUCCAACUACCUGUCUGUUGGGAUCACAACAUCUGCUACUUCAGUCGAGAGACAGGUCGGCUCCUCUAAAAAAGACGAGAACAAAAGAACCUCCAACCAGAGCUUGCUUCACAAGCGGUAGUGCUAGCCACUGAGAAAACCCAUCUUUCACCUCAACUGCUGCAAAGACCCUCCUCACACUGUGGACAACAGGGCACUGGGGAACCAACUGCUUCAGGUUACCUAAGACGAAGGAAAAGCUCUCCCACGAGUCCUUCCUCUGCAGACGCCUGGGGAUUAUUCCGGGGCCCUGCAGGCCUACCUCUGCCAGCUGGAAGACGACGUUGCCCUAAGACCUGCCCUCAGCGACCACGGAGGACCCUGGAGUGGCUGUCUAAGUAGCCACUGUCUAAGUAAGUCUCUGUCAUUUUUAAUCAUUAAUCCAGAUAAAAUUUAUCCUUCUCCAGAACUCUGAUGCAGUUUGAAGACCAAUAGCUUUGCUUGCUUGACAGCAGGAACCAAGGCUUCAGCCAUCUUCUCAGUUCUCUGUGUAAAGUUCAGAUCACAGGCUUCACUCUCCUGGAGCCAAUACAAGGUCUAGACACAAUUUACCUCUCUGCUGAGAGACAACUCACAGCACAGAUUUCUCCUGAAUGUUAAGAUGAUGCCAUAAUGAAGGAAAGGAACAGGUCCUGCCAGGAGCUGACCCGGUACAGAGCUUGGGAUGUGAGGAUCAGAGAUGCUUUAGGUCUAAGAAUGUGUUUUAAGGUGCGCAAAUGCCAGACAUAAAGGUCUGAGGGAAAAGGCUUAAGUGCCGAUAAUCUUGACACUAAAUAAAUUUCUGAUAAGCCAUCAAUCUAGCUCUGGCAGAGUGCCAGCACCAUCAUCACAGUUACAAGCUCAAGGUUUUAAAUUCCCUUUGGUUGUUUUCUAAAUAUAGACCCCCCCAAAGAUGCCUUUCAUUGUGCAAGAUCAUCUGUCACAGUUUUCUGGAUAGAAGAAAGAUUGUUAAUGCUUUUAAUCAAAGUCAUUUCUGGCACAAAUACACUGAUAUUUCUAAUGUGUCUAGACUUAUGUUUUCACACACUCAAAGAAUUCUUGUGAGUUCCAGGAAGUCAACUUGGGUUCACCUCGAACAGGUCAGAUGCACCCCUUCCUUCCUAAGCACCCUAAGUCUCCCCACCUUUCCCUGGUCUUGACAUCCCCUUCCUCAAUUAUCAGAACCUAAGGAAAAUAUUUUUCCUAAACUUAAUCUUUUUCUCUGCUCUGCCAGCAUCUUGCCAGAUUCAAGAGGCACCAGACAGUUCCACAUAGCCUGGACAGCAGUAAAACAACCAGAUACCCUAGGAUGUGACCAGCACCCCAACUUUCUCAGGUCCCCCAAAGAUGGUCAAUGCCCCAGAUCAGCAGGAAGUAGUCUUGAGAACUCAAUACCCUCAUUUCCCCUACCUGCCACACCUAACUUCUGACCUUUUUUAAUAAAUAAAGAAUAGAAGAAUGUUAGCAUCCAGACGAACCUGGCCCCGUCCCUUGGGGGCCCGACAGAGUGCAUCAUGUAUGUCCUGUGUCACACCUGCAUGCAGGGAAGGCAGUACCCUGUCUCUUUAAACAUGAAACUCUGCCUACUUCUCUCUUUUUCCUUUUCCCCUUUCUCUCUCUGCAUCUCCUUCUCUUUCUCUCUUUCUCUCUUCCUUUCCUUCUCCCACCCAUUUUAUCUCAAUAAAACUCCCCACUUGAAAAGGAUGGCCAGUAUAGGCUUCCUUCCUACAUAACAACCAUCUCCCCAAAGCUCCCAAAGGAACUGCUUCUUCUUCCUCAUAUGGUACCACGCCGGAGACCAACCGUUUAACCACAACAGAAACCCGAGUGACACUCAAACUGCAUCCUGUCCAUAGCAGUGAUCUUCAUUACGCCAUUUCUCUGGCAUUCCUGAACCGCUCUAGCCUCGUGAUGGCCAUGACGUCCAUCUUUCCCCUUGACAAGUGAAAAAACUUUCACUGAGAUCCUCAGAUCCUGCCUCCUCAGUACAUUGGAGAGUGGUCCCCAUGGGUCCAAGUCUACAAAUGGCCAUUGGUAUACCUGAUCAGAAUACCAGGGAUGUAGUGGCUGGAAUGGGAAUGGCCUCCACAAGCUCAUCUGUUUGAGUCCUUGGUCCCCAGUUUGGUGCAACUGUUUGAGAAGGACUAGAAGGUACAGCCUCGUUAGAAGAGAUGUAUCGAUGGGGGCAAGCUUUGAGGUUUCACAAGUCCCGAGCCAUUUCAGUUAGCUCUCUCUGCCUCACGCCUAUGGAUCAGAAUGUAAGCUCUCAGCUACUGCUCCAGCACCAUGCUCCCACCAUGAUGGUCAUGGACUUACUGUCUGAAACAAUAAGCCUCUAUUAAAUGCUUUCUUUUAGAACUUGCCUUGGUUGUGAUUUACUAUAGAAAUUGAAAAAUAGCUAAGACAGGGCAUAUCUCUGAGAUCAGGAACUCUGCAGGGUAGGACCUUGGGUGGUCUCCGUUGAGAAGAGUAUGGUGUUCUGCAGAAGGAGGAAAUAGUGAGCCCCAUACUGGGUGGCCAGGCAGGGACACUCAAGCCCAGACCUUCCCGUGUUCACCAAGUCAUUUUUCUUUUUCACUCUUGGGUACAUACUUGAAUUAAAGCUCCUUAAUCAGGUUAGAUGGGAACAUGUGACUAAGUUCUGAUUGCUCAACUAUGAACAGGAGUGAUCUAUUCCAGGCUUAGCCUCAAAAGCAAUCUUUAGCACCGUUAUCUACAUCUGCUGGUUCACUGUGAAGAUCCUGGAAGGGAACGCAGAGAGAUCAGAAGACAGGAGUGCCACGGGAGACAGGUCUGUGGAAACAUCACGCCGUGGAUUCCUCAGUGUACACACUCACUAUUACUGCCGCCAGCACCCGUCAGUCAUUGCGAUACCACGGAUAUUUCAAGUGCGCCAUCCAGUUGUGGAGUUGUUGGUUGCAGUAGUUAGACUACAGUGACUAAUAUACUUGCCUACCUGUAUGUUUCUUUCUUUCUUCACCUUUUUUGGAGACAAGGUUUCUCGGUGUAAUCCUGGCUGUCCCAGAACUCACUCUGUAGACCAGGCUGGCCUUGUACGCAGAGAUCUGCCUGCCUCUGCUGAUUGAAGGUGCUGAGAUUAAAGGUGUGCGCCACCACCCAGCCCACCUGUACAUUUCUUAAGAAUAACCCGUAUAGUAUUUGGUGCCAUAGAACCACUAUUAUUUCUAAGUUCAUGCAGCUCUGUCCUAUGACAGGCAAUGAAACUGGGGCCCAGGGAGUUCAAGUGCUUCUUAAAACAUGCUCAAGGACACAUGGAUUAUUGGUGUUAGUAAGAUUUUUUUGUUUGUUUGUUUUUUUGUAAUUAGUCUUUUUUAAUUUAUUUAUUAAAGAUUUCUGUCUCUUCUCCACUGCCGCCUCCCCUUUCCCUCCCCCUCCCCCAAUCAAGUCCCCCUCCCUCGUCAGUGUUUGUUUGUUUUUGAGACAGGGUUUCUCUGUGUAGCUUUGGAGCCUGUCCUGGAACUCGUUCUGUAGACCAGGCUGGUCUCCAUCUCGCAGAGACCGGUCUGCUUCCUGAGUUCCGGGGUUAAAGGCGUGCACCACCACUGUCUAGCUAGUGUUAGUAAGAUUUAAACCCAGGUCCGGACACUGUCCUCAGCCCAGUAUCUGCACUGUAUUUCUGUGCUGUCUCUUUUCAAAACCUCCACUCUAUUUAAAUUGCAAGUGUUGAAUUUAGAAGACAAGUCAAAUCUUCUUCCGAUCAAAGCCAGUGAUCUCGGAAUUAAGCUCUGUCUUUGACGUCGAGUCCAGCUAUGGCAACCUGUGGUCUGGUGACCUAUGAACUUUUAGUCCUGGUUUUAUAACCAUGGAGUGACACUGGCUUGCACAUUUCACAUCUGCUGCUGCCCUUUGGCGUUCAAUGGAUAAUCACUUCAU